AGAUUGAACGCUGGCGGCAUGCCUAACACAUGCAAGUCGAACGGGAGUAGCAAUACUCUAGUGGCGGACGGGUGAGGAAUACGUAGGAAUUUGCCCUUAAGUGGGGGAUAACCCGGGGAAACCAGGAUUAAUACCGCAUGACCUCGAAAGAGCAAAGUGGGGGAUCGCAAGACCUCACGCUUUUGGAGAAGCCUACGUCGGAUUAGCUAGUUGGUGAGGUAAUGGCUCACCAAGGCGACGAUCCGUAACUGGUCUGAGAGGAUGAUCAGUCACACCGGAACUGAGACACGGUCCGGACUCCUACGGGAGGCAGCAGUGGGGAAUAUUGGACAAUGGGCGCAAGCCUGAUCCAGCAAUGCCGCGUGUGUGAAGAAGGCCUUCGGGUUGUAAGCACGUUUAAGUUGGAAGAAAAACUCGACUACUAACACAGUAGAGUCUUGACGGUACCGACAGAAUAAGACACCGGACUAACUCUGUGCCAG
rnacentral:rRNA from 1 species